rnacentral:rRNA from 1 species
GAGUUGAUCAUGGCUCAGAUUGAACGCUGGCGGCAUGCUUUACACAUGCAAGUCGAACGAGGUAGCAAUACCUAGUGGCGGACGGGUGAGGAAUACGUAGGGAUCUGCCCUUAAGUGGGGGAUAACCCGGGGAAACCCGGAUUAUACCGCAUGAUCUCGCAAGAGCAAAGAGGGGGGACCGCAAGGCCUCUCGCUUUUGGAGGAACCUACGUCGGAUUAGCUAGUUGGUGAGGUAAUGGCUCACCAAGGCGACGAUCCGUAACUGGUCUGAGAGGAUGAUCAGUCACACCGGAACUGAGACACGGUCCGGACUCCUACGGGAGGCAGCAGUGGGGGAAUAUUGGACAAUGGGCGAAAGCCUGAUCCAGCAAUACCGCGUGUGUGAAGAAGGCCUUCGGGUUGUAAAGCACUUUAAGUUGGGAAGAAAAAGCUUCACCUAAUACGUGAAGCCUUGACGGUACCGACAGAAUAAGCACCGGCUAACUCUGUG